ACAUGAAGCUGGAAUCGCUAGUAAUCGCGGAUCAGAAUGCCGCGGUGAAUACGUUCCCGGGUCUUGUACACACCGCCCGUCACACCAUGGGAGUCGGAAAUGCCCGAAGUCAGUGACCCAACCACAACGUGAACUUUGUUCACGUGGAGGGAGCUGCCGAAGGUGGAGCCGGUAACUGGGGUGAAGUCGUAACAAGGUAAC
rnacentral:rRNA from 1 species